GUACUGCUGACGAGUCCCAAACUAGGACGAAACAGCUGUCCAGUAC
rfam:Trichobilharzia regenti genome assembly, scaffold: TRE_scaffold0025780